GAAAUGAAUCUUGACGAGAUCACAUCGUUUGCACACAAAAUCUUGGCGAACUAGGGAGAUGGUUUUCGCUAUGCUCCACCUCAUAUCUGACUGAAAUAGAAUUUUGUUCUUCCAUGAUGUAAUUUAGUCAAAUAAGAGGAGACAAGACAUAGUGAAAACCAUAUUCCUAGCUCGCCAUGGCAGGGCAUCAGGACAACAUUUUGUGUGCAAACAAUGUGAUUUCGUCAAGAUUCAUUUCAU